rnacentral:rRNA from 1 species
GAUGAACGCUGGCGGCGUGCCUAAUACAUGCAAGUCGAGCGAACGGACGAGAAGCUUGCUUCUCUGAUGUUAGCGGCGGACGGGUGAGUAACACGUGGAUAACCUACCUAUAAGACUGGGAUAACUUCGGGAAACCGGAGCUAAUACCGGAUAAUAUUUUGAACCGCAUGGUUCAAAAGUGAAAGACGGUCUUGCUGUCACUUAUAGAUGGAUCCGCGCUGCAUUAGCUAGUUGGUAAGGUAACGGCUUACCAAGGCAACGAUGCAUAGCCGACCUGAGAGGGUGAUAGGCCCCACUCGGACUGUGACACGGUCCCGACUCUUCCGGGGGGCAGAAGUAGGGAAUCUUCCGCGAUGGGGGAAAGCCUGACGGAGCACAGCCGCGUGAGUGAUGAAGGUCUUCUCAUCGUAAAACUCUGUUAUUUGGGAAGAACAUAUGUGUAAGUAACUGUGCACAUCUUGACGGUACCUAAACAGAGAGCCACGCCUAACUACGUG